UACAGAGGAUCCAGCAGUGUUCGGUGAUUCACUGGGCGUAAAGGUGCGUAGGCGGUCGGGUAAGUCUGAUGUGAAAUCUCACAGCUUAACUGUGAAACUGCAUUGGAUACUAUCCGGCUCGAGGAAUGGAGGGGAGACUGGAAUACUUGGUGUAGCAGUGAAAUGCGUAGAUAUCAAGUGGAACACCAGUGGCGAAGGCGAGUCUCUGGACAUUUCCUGACGCUGAGGCACGAAAGCCAGGGGAGCAAACGGG
rnacentral:rRNA from 1 species